UUGGAGGGCAAGUCUGGUGCCAGCAGCCGCGGUAAUUCCAGCUCCAAUAGCGUAUAUUAAAGUUGUUGCAGUUAAAAAGCUCGUAGUUGAAUUUCGGGAUUGACGUGACGGUCAUGCCUUAAGGGGUAUGAACUGUUACUGUUGAUUUCUCACCUUCUGGAGAAACUUGAUGUCCUUUAUUGGGUGUCUUGCGGAUCCAGGACCUUUACCUUGAAAAAAUUAGAGUGUUUAAAGCAGGCAUUUUUGCUCGAAUACAUUAGCAUGGAAUAAUAGAAUAGGACGGCAUGGUUCUAUUUUGUUGGUUUCUAGGAUCACCGUAAUGAUUAAUAGGGAUAGUUGGGGGCAUUAGUAUUCAAUUGUCAGAGGUGAAAUUCUUGGAUUUAUUGAAGACUAACUACUGCGAAAGCAUUUGCCAAGGAUGUUUUCAUUAAUCAAGAACGAAAGUUAGGGGAUCGAAGACGAUCAGAUACCGUCGUAGUCUUAACCAUAAACUAUGCCGACUAGGAAUCAGACGAUGUUAAUUUUUUAAUGACUCGUUCGGCGCCUUACGGGAAAC
rnacentral:rRNA from 1 species